rnacentral:lncRNA from 1 species
AGGCUGAUACAUAUUGUUCGAGAAUUUCACAGCGGCGUAUAUUCCGGUUGUGCGGAGAGGAAGAAUCGCACUCUGCACGAACAGGUUAGUGGCUUACCCAAUUCUUUUUGGAUCAGCCUGGCUAACUAUGUCCAAAAUCAGUUCUGCCAUGCGGCUGACCAGCUCCAUCUUCUCACUACCACACGGAGCAUUGUCUUUAGUGUUUUCACUUUCCAUUCCUACAGGGUCAGGUGACAAUGGAUACUUGCGACCGGUGUUUCAACUUGAACAGGCCACGAGAUGUCAUUGGGUUGACCAUCCUUUCCAUGGUCACCAAGGUGGGCAAGGCCAAAG